AGUCAGCUGCUCCAGAGCGCGCAGCCGCUGCUCCAUGGCUGCACCGAGUUCCGCGCCCGGGCUAGAGCUGGGCCGCCCGCAUGUCUGCCGAUGGGGAAUCAUCAUUAUGUCAUCCAGGCUGACCACAAACUCCUGAGCUCAAGGGAUUCUCCUGCCUGAGCCUCCCCAGUAAGUGGGACCACAGGUGGUGUGAGCCCUGGAAGAAGCACUUUCUGCACAUGGGAUGGCCACAAAGGUCCGGCUCUGCAGCAGCUGGCGGGAGGGGUCUUGGGCAAAUCAGGCCCCAAGUGCCAGUCCCUAAUCCCCAGGCCCUGCCCUGUCCC